CCUACGGGAGGCUGCAGUGGGGAAUUUUUCGCAAUGGGGGAAACCCUGACGAAGCAACGCCGCGUGGAGGAUGAAGGCCUUCGGGUCGUAAACUCCUGUCGACCGGGAAGAAUGCACCCGACCUAAUACGUCGAGGUGUUGACUGUACCGGUGGAGGAAGCCACGGCUAACUCUGUGCCAGCAGCCGCGGUAAUACAGAGGUGGCAAGCGUUGUUCGGAAUUACUGGGCGUAAAGGGCGCGUAGGCGGCCCGCCAAGUCCCGUGUGAAAGCCCCCGGCUC
rnacentral:rRNA from 1 species